rnacentral:lncRNA from 1 species
AUCGCUUUUGCUCCACUCUGCUUUUUCCUUCGAAGUCCACCUGCUAAGGAGGAAAAAAUGGCUAUCCUCAUGGACCACAACUGUCCCAUUAAAACAAAGAUGUACACUCAGAAUAAUGUCCAGUCAUAUCCCAUCGGUGAUGAUGAAGAAUCUGAAAGUGACUGAGACCCUCUAACGUCGCCAAAUGUUUAACUGUGUAGAAGUGUUUCCAGUGAGAUGACUUAUGCAGAGCUGUCUUAGUCCCACCAUCCAUUGCUGGCAAAGAGUAAAAACAACCAAAGGUGAUACUUUCUUUUCCAUGGUUAUGAUUGACUGCCAACAGCCUUAUAAAGAAAAAGCAGCUUUUCUAGGGGUUUGUAUAAAUAGUGUUGAAAACUUUAUUUUAUGUAUUUGAUUUUAUUAAUAUUAUACAAUAUAUUUUGACGAAAUAGGUAUACUGUAAAUGUAUAAAUAUUUGAAUCCAAAUUAAAUAUAAUUUUUAAACUUACAUUCAUU